rnacentral:rRNA from 1 species
CCUACGGGAGGCAGCAGUGAGGAAUAUUGGUCAAUGGGCGGGAGCCUGAACCAGCCAAGCCGCGUGAGGGAAGAAGGUACAGCGUAUCGUAAACCUCUUUUGUCAGGGAACAAAGGCGGGGACUAGUCCCCGGAUGAGGGUACCUGAAGAAAAAGCAUCGGCUAACUCCGUGCCAGCAGCCGCGGUAAUACGGAGGAUGCGAGCGUUAUCCGGAUUUAUUGGGUUUAAAGGGUGCGCAGGCGGCCUGUUAAGUCAGCGGUAAAAGCUCGGGGCUCAACCCCGGCGAGCCGUUGAAACUGGCGGGCUUGAGUUGGAGAGAAGUACGCGGAAUGCGCGGUGUAGCGGUGAAAUGCUUAGAUAUCGCGCAGAACCCCGAUUGCGAAGGCAGCGUACCGGCUCCACACUGACGCUGAGGCACGAAAGCGUGGGUAUCGAACAGGAUUAGAUACCCGUGUAGUC